rnacentral:lncRNA from 1 species
GGUGGAGCGUUACGUGAAGCGUCUGUGUGUCUGCGAGAUCUUGCUGUGGGCCAGGUAUCCAUUCUCCUGCGGCAGCUUAGACCCUACGGAGACUAGAGGUCCGUGGGUGGUGGAGGAUCCUUUGCGUAGCAAAAAAAGAAGGCGAGUGCUCCUGCAUCCUCUCAAGACGGUACCCAGGGUCUCACUUUUCAGCUCUGGCUGCCCUGAACCUCACUGAGAUCCCCAUCUGCCUACAAAGUGCUGGGAUUAAAGAACAUCCACCAUUAUUAGAACCAUCACCCUGCAGCUAGCUUGGACAUCAUUAAAAGGGCUCAUCAGAAGUAUCUGAUAUUCAUGAAGACAGAGUUUCAGGGUUUCUGCCUGGAGCUACACCCUCCAGGAGCCCCUGCUUGGCUUCC